UUUAUGGGAUGAUUUAUCAUUUUAUUUGUUGAGAGAGAAUAUAAGAUUUUACUGGGUGACUGUUAUUCUUCAAGAGUUCCUAAAGUUAAAUUCUGAUGACGAAAAAUUUUGCUGUUGUAGACAGGAAAAGUAACUUGUUGAAGCAGAGUAAUUUAGUGUUUUAAAGAGUAUGUAACUUGAUUAUCAUCUAUCUAUCUAUCUAUCUAUCUAUCUAUCUAUCUAUCUAUCUAUCUAUCUAUCAAUGUAUCUUCUAUCGGCUAUCUAUUUAUCUUCCAUCUAGCCUAACUGCCAUCAUCUAUCAUCUGCCUUUAGCCUAUCAGUUAAGGGCUGAACUUGGUGCUAGACAGAUCUCGUUUUCCCUCAAAUUUACAACAUGAGCUUGAGCAAAAUUCCUUCACUGUGUUAAGCCUAAAUUUCUUCUUAUGUAAAAUGGGGACA